CAGCAGCCACGGUAAUACGUAGGGUGCAAGCGUUAAUCGGAAUUACUGGGCGUAAAGCGUGCGCAGGCGGUUUGUUAAGACAGAUGUGAAAUCCCCGGGCUCAACCUGGGAACUGCAUUUGUGACUGGCAAGCUAGAGUGUGGCAGAGGGGGGUGGAAUUCCGCGUGUAGCAGUGAAAUGCGUAGAUAUGCGGAGGAACACCGAUGGCGAAGGCAGCCCCCUGGGCCAACACUGACGCCCAUGCACGAAAGCGUGGGGAGCAAACAGGAUUAGAUACCCGAGUAGUCCCUGUCUCUUAUAC
rnacentral:rRNA from 1 species